AUAAGGAAGGACGUAGUAAACAACGAAAUGCUUCGGAGAGUUGAAAAUAAGCAUAGAUCCAAAGAUUUCCGAAUAAGUCAAUCUUUCAAAUUGCUGAAUCCAUAGACAGAGAAAAGACGAUCGGACAAAUUGAAACAUUUUAGUAGCUUGAGGAAAAGAAAGCAAAAGA
rfam:Gossypium raimondii chromosome 11, whole genome shotgun sequence.